ACCAGCGGCGGCAGCACGUUGAAUGUACCAGUUCCGUACGGAUCACUGAAGUUAAGCAACGUUGCGCCUAGUACCUGGAUGGGUGACCGUCUGGGGAAUUGAGGAGACGGGUA
rfam:Asian citrus Psyllid, Diaphorina citri - Florida Strain, whole genome shotgun sequence.